AUUGAACGCUGGCGGCAGGCCUAACACAUGCAAGUCGAGCGAGCGGCGGACGGGUGAGUAAUGUAUGGGGACUGCCCGAUGGAGGGGGAUAACUACUGGAAACGGUGGCUAAUACCGCAUACUAUCGGAUAACCCAUAUGGGAUUAGCUAGUAGGUGGGGUAUAGGCUCACCUAGGCGACGACCUCUAGCUGGGCUGGGAGGUUGAUCUGCCAAGCUGGGACUGAGCAACGGCCCAGACUCCGACGGAGGCAGCAGUGGGGAAGAUUGCACGAUGGGCGAAAGCCUGAUGCAGACAUGCCGCGUGUAUGAAGAAGGCGUUAGGGUUGUAAAGUACUUUCAGCGGGGAGGCGGUACCCGCAGAAGAAGCACCGGCUAACUCCGUGCCAGCAGCCGCGGUAAUAC
rnacentral:rRNA from 1 species